GGCUGUUUCGCGCUGAUGGCUUGCACCCCAGCAGAGGCGGAGCGGAGCUGCUCUCUGACAACAUCUCCACGACACUUCGCUCCAUGUGACUAGAUUUACACAAGCUCCAGUCUGGAUCCAGAACACCUGAGAAGAGAUGAUGCUGACCAUCAGAGAACCUCAGAUGAUGCUAACCCUGAAUCAACAACAGAACUAAAAAAUAUUGCUACAAG